CAAAUUUUAUGAAAAGUUUACACAUUACUAACAUUACCUGAAAACUCAAAUCUAAUACUUAUUUGAGUAGCAUAACUUUUACAGUUUUUCAGUUAUAUAAAAAAGAAGAUGUGGUAUGAUUACCAAUGAGACAACUAUCCACAAAAGACCAAAAUGACACAGACAUUAAUAACUAUAGGUCACCGUACGCCCUUCAACAAUGAGCAAAGCCCAUUCCGCAUAGUCAGCUAUAACAGGCCCCGAUAAGACAAUGUAAAACAGUUCAAACGAGAAAACUAGCGGCCUUAUUUAUGUAAAAAAAAAAAAAAAAAAUGAAAAACAAAUAUGUAACACAUAAACAAACGACAACCACUGAAUUGCAGGCUCCUGACUUGGGACAGGCACAUACAUAAAUAGUGUGGCGGGGUUAAACAUGUUAGCGGAAUCCCGACCCUCCCCCUAACCUGGGACAGUGGUAUAACAGUACAACAUAAGUUAUGUCUCUUUAUAUUUAUAUGAUAUUCAAGGUGGG
rnacentral:lncRNA from 1 species